UAGCGGGGGUGAUUCCAUAGAGCGCAUGUCCAUCCCCAGAGAGCCAGAGCAUAUGCUCCAUGGAAUCACCCCCACCA
ensembl:miRNA mdo-mir-1540a mdo-mir-1540a